rnacentral:lncRNA from 1 species
UUAAUUUAAUUAUUUGAUUGAGUAUUGAUUGGUGAAUGGCCAAGUAUGUUUAUUCAGCAUUUAUAAUGUUUUGUUGAGUUGAUUUAAUUAUUUGAUUGAGAAAUCGUUGGGCAUUGGUUGUCGAUAUUGAAAGUGAAUUGGUAACCACUGCAAAGAGGACACGUGGCUCGGUGAAUUGGAAUGUCACCUGGAAAAUGCACGUGAGUUCAGUGGUUGAAUAUGUCACCUUGGCGAAAAGGUCGCCUGAGAGAAUGCACGUGGCUCGGAGACUCGGUAUGUCGUCCUGGAGAAUGCACGUGGCUCGGUGACAGGAUUUGGCAUCUAAAAGGACACGUGGUCUCGGCGAAUUGAUGCAUCGCUUUGGUGAGAUGCACCUUAGAGAAUGCACGUGGGUCCAGCAUUCCGGAAUGGCAUCUAAAAGGGCACGUGGUCUCGGCGAAAAGAAGCAUCGCUUUGGUGAGAUGCACCUAAGAGAAUGCACGUGGGCCCGGGCAUCUAAAAGGGCACGUGGUCUCGGUGACUUGAUGCAUCACUUUGGCGAAAAGGUCGCCUGAGAGAAUGCACGUGGGCCCAAGGUUCGAGGCACGUGGACUCGGAGACUUGGAAUGUCGUCCUAGAGAAUGCACGUGGCCUCGCUUUUAGAUACUCC